rnacentral:lncRNA from 1 species
UGCUCAGCAGAAACCCCCAGGCCCAUUGUAACCAUGUGUCCUUCUGGCUCCCUUCUGGGCAGGCCGCCCAGCUACUGGGAUUUGCAACGAUCUGGGCCUGGCCAGCCCCCAUUCCCCCUUAUCCCACGAGAAGAACAUCCUGUCUUACGGGGACACAGAGCUCCUCCAUGUGAGCUACUGUUCCUGGAACGCUAGUCGUACCAAGGACAGCCCUUUGGCAGGCAUGCAGCCUUCCUUCCUCUGCCUGCUUAAGCAAGCUUCUCUUAGGGGGCUGUUGCGGGCGUAUGCAUACUUCCAUCCAGCCGGCUGCCCACUGGACACUCUCCCUACAAGGAGGUGGCAACAGAAGGAAGCCUAGAGCUGUACUCAGGUCUUGCUCUGCAAGCACAGAAGAAGGCAGCCAUCCAUCAGAAGAAGCGCGGGGACACGCUGCACGAGACCAUCCCUUUGAUUAAAGGAAGCAGCUUUCUUCUGGGACCCAGAGUGGGGUAGCCAAGACCAGACUCUUCUACCCGAACAACUCUUCCCUCUAAUGUUGGAGGCGUGUAGUUACAGGCAUCUCCUUUUGUCCCUGGGCAAGUGCCUGAGAUGCUAAGAUUUGGCUCUGAGCCCAACCACGUGUAAAUAUAAUAAAAGAGGGGAUAGGUGAGCAAAAUGGAUGAAGGGGGUCAAAAGGUACAAACUUCCAGUUAUAAAAUAACUAAGUGAUGGAGAUGUCAUGUACAGCAUGGUGACUAUAGUUAAUAAUACUGUAUUGCAUGUUUGAAAGUUGCUAAGAAUGUAAAUGUUAAACUUUUUCAUCAAAAGAAAAAUAAAUUG